rnacentral:rRNA from 1 species
AGAACGAACGCUGGCGGCGUGGAUAAGACAUGCAAGUCGAACGAGACUUUUUCUGGUAGCAAUAUCGGGAAAAGUUUAGUGGCGAACGGGUGCUUAACACGUGGGCAACCUGCCGAGAAGUGGGGGAUAGCUCGCCGAAAGGCGAAUUAAUACCGCAUGUGAUUAGAGAGGACAUCCUUUCGAAAUUAAAGUCGGGGCAACCUGACGCUUUUUGUGGGGCCCGCGGCCUAUCAGCUAGUUGGUGAGGUAACGGCUCACCAAGGCUUUUGACGGGUA